rnacentral:tRNA from 1 species
UAUUAACAUUAAGUGACUGAAAAGAAAGUAAUGGUCUCUUAAACCAAAAUAUAGUAUAAUCGAAUACUCUUAAUGAUAAUAA